rnacentral:rRNA from 1 species
UACGUAGGGUGCGAGCGUUAAUCGGAAUUACUGGGCGUAAAGCGUGCGCAGGCGGUUUUGUAAGCCAGAUGUGAAAUCCCCGGGCUUAACCUGGGAAUGGCAUUUGGGACUGCAAGGCUGGAGUGUGGCAGAGGAGACUGGAAUUCCCGGUGUAGCAGUGAAAUGCGUAGAUAUCGGGAGGAAUACCGAUGGCGAAGGCAGGUCUCUGGGCCGUAACUGACGCUGAGGAGCGAAAGCGUGGGGAGCGAACAGG